CCCCACAGCUGCUCGGGGCAGGCAGCUCUUCCUUCUCGAGGGAUCAUAAAUUCUGAGAGUGAAGUCCCACAACCUGUUUCUGCUUUAAGAAAAAGGCACUUUCCCGGCUCUGCUUUUCCCCAGGACGCAGCAGACGUUAGCUGGGGGGCAGGCGCACGCAGGUGGGCUCCGCGCUGAGGAGCCGCACGUGGAGAUGGCUCUGCGCAGCAGCAUCGAGCGUAACAUGGCGGCUCGAAAGGGAGGUGACACAAAAUGGUGGCCCAGCCGGGCCCAGCGGCUGGUGGGGGUCACACCUGCGCAGCCCCAACGACAACGCAGAACAGCCAGCGGGAAACUCCAGCCUGGACCGGGCCACGCAACUCCUGCGUGGGGAAAAGCCCGCAGAAGAUGCUCUUUCACUGAUGACACAAAACCCAGCGCAGUUUCAAGGCAACGUGGAGAGCUGUGAAGCGGGGAUGAAAUCUUGGAGUAUCCCAAGCACUCUCUGCCACCUGUGAAGCUAACAGACAGGACUACAUCUUGAUGAACUGUCACUAAGCUAUGAUAAAAAUACAAUUGAAAAGAUAUUUAUAGCUGCCAAUGGCAAUUCUAAGCAGCAUUCAGGAUCUCUAUUUAAUUAACGUGCUAUGUAGUCCAUUUGCCAUAUGCAUAAAACAAAAGCUCUGUUAAUUAUCAGAUGAACUGAUUAAAAGUCUUGGGCCAGACAUUCCUCUCCCACAUUAAGAGUUACAAGAGGGGCAUUUUCAUAAAACACAUCCCCCCGAGAGCUCCCGCAGCAGCCUUACUCUGCCUGCCCCUUUCCGGGGACGGACUGGGGUCUUUUUUCCGGGACGAGCUGUUCCGAGGGGGCUGGCCCCAGCCACAUGGCUGCUCCACACACUUUCCUUGAUGCAGGACUUAGGACUCACCAUGCAGCCCUGCAUCAAGACGCAUCCAUGUCCAACAGUGACAAUACCUAUGGCUGCAGGCACAGGUUUUCCAGUGAAUAUUAGGGCAGCUACAGCAAACGGCCUGGCACUGCAGCGGCCUGGCACUGCCAGAACAUACAAAGGAUGUGGAGGAAUACAGGUGAAGUGCCUUAAUUUCUUCCAUGCAUCAUUACACACUAGAAGAGGAAACAGUUCCCCAAAGGGCUUCUGUAAACAGAAAAUGUGGCCUAUGAGCCUGCAAUUAACUGGGGCCACAGAUGUGAACAUUCUGAUAAUCACCUCUGUGAAUAGCUAAAUGCUUCAAUGAUAACACCUGAAACCUUAAAAAUGGUGGUCACAUUUUAAAAUCAGCCUAAGAGAAACAAAUAAUCCAAAGGGGAAUAUACAGCUGUUGUGGAAUAUAUUCAUGCAGAGUAAAUCCAGUCAAUAGCAGAAGCUGGAGUUACUCAUAAGCUCCUCUGUUCCUCAGAUCUGCUCCUCUGAAAGAAAAGCACUUUGGGAACCUGACAGACACUUUGCUUUUGAGCACUCUCCUGCAGAACUCAGAUGCCAGCUCACGUGAGUUCGCUCAGGUGAGCAAACAGGCAUGUCUCACAUCUGUUACAGCCUGUCCACUGGCAAAACUAGCACCCAGUUUUCUCUGUAAAGCUAAAACAAAUAAAUGAACAGUAUUUAUUAAAAAGCAGGAAGUAUUUUCUUUGCACAAAAUUCAAAGUGACAUUCAGCCAGUACUAAACUCAAACAUGCUUUCAGGCAGACUACUUCUGCUGUCACUGUGAUUGCUGCCAUUUUACUGUCACCUUAGUUUUCCUUCUGUUGUUCACUGGUGCUCUGUUUCACACACAUGUAUGCGCAGAUACACCCAUCUACUAAAACAAAAUGCAAUGAAGCCUCUACCCAGCGUUAUAUCUGCUUAAACUGAUCAUGAAGCCACACAACUCACUAGGAGCUACCUAUAGGCAUUCUCAAGAAAAUACAAUUAAGCUUAAAUAAAAUUCUAAAAAUGUAAGAAAAUUUACAGCAGGUGCUGUAGGAAUUUUCAGACAUGAACUUACAACAAUACUUCAUUUCUUUUCAGGUUACUAUUUGUUUUGCAGUACAUUUAAACAUUAAAGAAUAUUGCAACAUUUUCUAUUUUUUGUUGUGUGCUAGCAGGAAAAGGUGGCUAUGUUGUUAUUCUGCUGGUGUUUCUCCAGGCACAAUAGGACAGUCCUUCUCCAGCAAAACUGCAAAGGUUGGCUCUGGUGAUAGAAUGCAUUUAAAAAGGAUGGCCAGAUGGUGGCACAGUAAACACCCUCUGCUGAAGGGCUCUGCGUGCAUAUCAGAAAUACCCUUGUUCCAUAUGCAUAUUACAGCACAUACAGGGUUAGACACUCCUCAUGCAGAACAACCGCCUCCCAAAACAUAUGUCAGCAGAGUAUUUACUACCAAAUCCAGACAGAGUUGGUGAUUCUAACAUUGUCCCCAUUAAUGAGAAAAAUGUCACUAUAUGAAAGCUUUUUUUUUUGCUCCUUAUCAAAUCCUUCAAGCAGCUGAUAACUAGUUUUUACAGAUUGGAGAGUCAGAUAGAAUUCUGAAUCUAUUAUUUUACUAAAACCCCAGGGGUCAACUUAUCACCUGAAAACCAUUUUACAUGGACAAUUUGACUUUCAUGUGGAGUGUCAGGACAUACCCUAGAUGGAAAUCUAAAAUAAAUUAUAUGGAGUACUGCCUUAUUUGUGCUGAAAUUUAUCGGUCCCACACUACAAUAAUUUUGAAAAUUGUAUCCCUUAAGCUGCAGUGCUGAGAUAUUAUUAACUGCUUGAACUGAAAGAACAUUUGCGAUUCGCUGCUAUAAACUCUAUGGACAGAGACUAAUUUCAAUUGAACGACAUGCUUCUCUGAAACUGCUUUCCACCAUUCCAAGCUGCCAACUUUAUCUUCUUCCAGAACAACCUCCAUUUUAUCACCAUCAUCCUCAGUAUGCACUGUUAUUUCAGUAAAUCUGCUCCAGAAGCUAAGAAUGUUUCUAACCCUCUGCUUAUAUGGUUAUCUGAGACAAUCACACGCAAGACAGAAAGAGCGAUCCACUUGUACCUCUUAUCUUCCUAAUAUAGGCUAUUUUCCUCACUGUGCAAGCCUCGAGUCUCUCAAAUGCAUCCCUGUAAUACAUCACAAGUCAAGCAGAUCCAUCUCAUCGCCCACACUUCCUCCAGCAUUUCUACUGCCAUUCUUCUGAAGUAAAGUUAUUCUGAUAAUAGGUGUUGAUGCUUUGCUGAAAGCUGCCUUUGCCUUUCUCAGUACAAUUUUCAGAAACCACCCAACUGACCUCACAGCCUAAAAUUUUUUAAAUUGAGAAGAUACUGAAAAUGUUACCAACGUUCCAGCUGCUGGGUGAUUAUUCCCUGAGUAGAAAUUCCCAAGCUAGGAAGAAAAACCUCCUCUAGGUGUAACAUACAAGAAUGGUGCCAUCGGAUAAAAGAAGUUUAUUUCCUGCACCCAGUCACCUAACAAGUCUGGACUAUAACAGCUAAAAUAUGUCACAAUGAGAAAAAAAAUCCUACAGCCUCAUUUCCAUUCAAAGAAAGCAAUAGCCUUUACAAACUAAAACAAAUUGCUAAGAAGGAAGUUCACUAGUCUUCUAACCUCCAUAUCCAAGUCUCUAGCAUUAAAGCAUUCCUUUAACCAGCUCUUUCCUCAACGGUACCAAGCCUCGUCAGGAGGCAUUCAGACCAAUUCCAAUUCACUGUGACCAGUCAGCCCCUCCGCAAGUGGGAGCCCUAUGGCUUCUGGCAACAGCAUUCAGCUCAAUGAGGCCUUCGCCAGACAGGAAUCUGAAAACCAAGGUUUGGAAGCCUUAGCGAGACAAAUCCUUCACCUCCAAAUGCUUUACUGCCUGGCUCUCUGACAUCUUUCUUUUAUUUUAGGCUCUAUCACAGAAACAAUGGGAGCCCAUUAGUAAAGGGACACUAUCACAAAGUGGCAGCCAUGCCCUUUCAGGAAGCAGCUGCAUCUGUGGAGACCAGCACAGCUUGUCUGGGAGACACAGGGUCCUUUGCACAGAGCCUGGCUUUGCUCGGUGUCUGCGCCUUGUGGGACUACUGGUGAAGUCAUGCUGAAUAGCAUCGUAUCUAUGUUGUAGCUGUUGAGCAAUUAGAUAAUAAUUACGCUGAAGGCAGUUCAUUAAAAUCACCUAAAAUUGUACUUCAGGCUGAAAUAAAUACCAUAUUUUGGAGAAUUUGUGUGGUGAGAUGAAAGAACUGGGCUAAAAUGGCAUGUCUAGGUUCAUCUUUGAAACACUGAAUUUUUGCUUUGGCCCAGCAUCUCAGCUGGUCAGUGUUUGCCUACCUUUGACAGAAAUUUUAGAAGCAUGAACUUAUCCUUGAUAGAGAAGAUAAACUGAGGAAAAUAUUUGGGAUAUUAAAAUUAAUACCCCUCUGCUUCAACUAUAUCUUACCAUUUAUUGAAGUGAUUAGACAUGAUUAGCAGAUUUUUUUCUAUCUUAUCCAAACAGCGCUUUUCUCACACCACAAAUUCACAAUAUUGAAGGUAAGGAAGAGUGUAGAGUUUGCAGUUGGACACUUGUAUUAGUAAAUAUUCUGAGUGUUUAUAAGUGCUUAAAUUGUUGAGAUAAAUGUUUUGAAAUCUAUUUCUAAAAAUGAUUUAUUUAGCUCACAUGCAAAAAUUCAGAAUUUCAUAGUGGUUAAAACUGAUAGAGCCUGAAUCUAGCUGGAAGUGUGAUCAGAUAUUGACAGGCAGCAGCUUAAAAAUUAAGCUACACAAGCUGACCUUAAUAUGUGUGACUAUCAGGUUUUCACUGUAGAAAUAUGCAUUUUUUCAAUAUCCCUCUCUGAGCUGAAAUCAUGUCAUUUAUAUGCAAAUCAGACCAUAUUCUGCAGCUGUUUCUUCUCUGCUGAAGCCAUAGGAAUUAUUUGCACUUAAUAAAGCCUCAUAAAUAGGUUUUGUCUCUAAAUGGGUGGGGGAGCAGCAAAUAUAUCAUAGCCAUUUACAGUUACAAGCAUCUUUUUAUUUUGAAAGUUAUAUGCAUCCUUUAAUAGGAAGUUUCACAGUUGCAAAAGAAACAUUGUUUUAUUUAUGCACACAAAACAAUUCCAGCCUCCAGAACAAAAUCUGUUUUGCAUUUUUUUCCAUGUUAAGCUAUCUCAAAGGUAGAAAUUGCCAUUUAACAUGAACCAAAAGGAUUGUCUGCAUAAUCACUACAUGCUAGCUCCAUGUGGCACAUGUUGAAUAUAGGAAGAAAUUCCUUGCCAGCAUACUUUUGCACUUUAUGACACUGGAAAGAACAAAUAAGCAGUUUACACGGAAUAUAUCCACCCACCAUAAUGCCAAUCUACUGCAUUUCUGUAAAAUGUGUAGCAGUUCCACACACAUUCCAUCAGAUGGUUCUCCGUGCAAGUGCUGGUGCAUGGAAACAACCCCUUUAAGUGCAGCCGGCGGACAGGCUCGGUAACGCUCCAAAGCACGUCCCACAAGGCUAGCAUAAAGGUGGUUUUCAGCUUGGCAGGAAGCAUACUAAGGUGCUUGGGAAGCAGCUCUCCCUGACUGACUGGGACUGCUCACUUAGAAUGGGACAGGCAGUGCAGGCUAACAGUAGUGGAGCUUAUCCAUUACUUCACAGCCACAGCAAAGAGGAACGGUGAUCGGCACCAUCUACAGAAAGAUAAGGGGACAAACAUUUCCCUUCUGCAAGGGUCCCUAUCACUUCUGAGGAUAGUCCUUGUCCUCAGACCUCUCCAUCUGAACUACCUGUCAAAAAACACAUGGACACCAGGCAUUAUAUCACAGGGGCAGAGGAGAGAGCUUGGAUGGUGGCAGCAAUUUUCUCUCAUAUGGGUUUAAAGAAUAAAUAUAGGAACACAGUUCAACAGGGGUGGCCCUUAUAAUCUCAGCUGUACAAUGGUAGGAGUGCACCAUUGGCCUUUUUCUAUCAGACUUCUUCAGUCAUUGUGAAUUUCAUCACUGCAAACUAUCAGCAGAAAAUGUGUGCAUCAUUUUGUUACAUAAACCCUCAAUACAUUCAAUGUUUUGUUAGUCUUCUGCAGGAAAUGAAUGUGACUCUAAGGAGUCCCUCCUUUUCUAUUUCCUUGUUAAGCAAAAGAUCUUGAAGAAAACCAGGCAUUCAUGGAUAUCAUUUACAUAUUCAGUCAACAGACCAACUGACAUGGUACUGCUCUCUUGCUCCUACACAAAAAACAGAAGGGGUGAAGUAAAGAAGUAAAGAUAGCCUGUUCUUUUAAAAGAGAUACCACUGAUUCUGUAAUAAUGGUGCCUUAGAGCGGUAACAUUUACAUUGUACAAAAUGACCAAUCGUAACUAUUCUUUUUUAGAUGCAUAUUCAAUACAUUGACUUCUGUUCACUCUUUAUCAUCAUGCUGACUACCUUUAAAAGCACCAAUUUUAUAUCUCAGCUAAUGAAGUAACUAUUCUAUAAAUGUAUAGCUAACUAAAAAUACACCCAAACUUCUUGUACUGUAAUGUUUAACCCAUUAAGUUUUCAAAUACAUGAACAAAGUCUACUUAAUUAAAAAUGAAUGUGAGACAUGCUGCAUACAAUUAAUAUUAUGUCACAAUACAUUUACAGUAUUCUAUAUGUUAGAAAUGUACCUUAUACACAAAUGCGUCUGACUGGCAACAUGUUUAAACACUAUAUAUAUUCUUCUACUAACAGUUCUGAAGAAUAUGGUUUUUGAGUGCAUAUUGCAUUUUCUUCAGGCACAGAUACAGUUGACCUCUGUUUGUAUUCUGAAACCAGUAUAUGUGAUAGGACAAGGAAGCAUAUAAGAAAGUUGAAGUUAAAUUAAAAGCAGGUAUGAGCAUGUAUUUUAUUACAGAGAAUCAGAUGAGUAAGAUGGUAAAAUCAGACUUCUUUUCACAUUGAAUUUUCUUUCACUACUCCAUUAUGGGAAACAGUAUUGUUAUAAUGUAAAUUAUAUAGAAUCUUCCCCAGAGUAAUGACCAUGGCAUUCUGCUGCAUCCCCAGAAUUCCUUAUUCAAUCCCACUGAUCCAAACUCAGCCACUCAAUUAAUAACUCUAUGCAAAAUUAAAACACACGAUACAGGCAAACUUUAACAAUAUUUUUACGCAUUUUAAUCUGUACUUUAUCUGUUGGGAGUGGCUUAGUGAAACUGUCUUAUGUUAUCCUGUUGAAUUAAACUAGCAUGUUUUAUCACCUGGGCAGCAUCUGAAAGGAAGCUGCAUGCAGCAACGCUAGUGGAGCACAGCCAUCUUUUGCUGGACAGAAAUACAACUGUCCAAUUUACAAAGAAAAGUAGGAUCCUUAUGUGGAUAAAAGAACCCUGACAUCUCAUGUGCACAGGAAAGGUAACAUUCAGAGAGCCUGGCUGUGAGUUUACAGCAUACCAGCUUCUCCACACUAACUGUAUGAGGUUGCUUUUAUCAUACAUAAUUUGAUGAAUUCCACCAUAGAGCAAUUCAGCUCACUUACAAUCUGGACCAUCUUCUGACAGUGCCUGUCUCCUUCUAGUGACUGUAGAGGGAGUCCAAGUAAACUCAGUGUAUCACUUAAGAUGAUUCAGUUAAAUGACUAAAGUUAGACAGCUCUUAAUAGCUAGGUAAGCUGCACUUACCUUUCAGGGCAUGCAAUUGCAUGACCUGAGAUUUUGGUCCCCUGGUCAUUCAGAUCAAGCAUCUGUGGAGGGACACCAGAGGCUCCUGCCAGGGGCCCAUCUGAUUCCCAUGGAAAUCAGCAGAUGGUGAUGGGAGGGAGCUAAACUCUGCACACUUAAAUCUCACCCUGACAUGGAACUGCGACAUGACAGGGAUGUACGUUUAGUCCUGGAAGAUCAGAAGGACUGCUGGGCUAAACAUAGCAGUAGUACAGUGUGAGUUACCUAACUUUGGAAGUUUAAUUAUAAAAAAAAUUUAGUUUGACCGUUUUUUUCUAAUACUGCAAUCAAUUUGCUCUUUCCGCUUGUACUAGUUUUGAAGUAUAGUCAUUAUGUAGCUGCAAUUAAUUACUGUCACACAAACAUAUUAUGCUUAUCGCUUCUGAUCUUUCAACUAUAAUAACUAAAAAAAUUGAAUGACAGAAAAAUGAAUGUACCAUACGAAAAAUCUUUCCUUCUCUUGAAAUAGGGAACACUUCAGUAUAUAUAAAUAUUUCCAAAUUGGUUUUCUGAAAGGGAUUUAGAUUUUAAAGAGUCAUAGAACUAAUAUGAAUAAUGAAGUAAAGCAGCAAUGUCAAAUAAAGCUCUUUCUUCUAGAAAAAUGUUUUGUACUAGAGGUUUAACAUCACUACAAGGACACAACAGUGUUGAAAAGACGUAUCUUCUGAAAUCUGUAAAAUGUUGUCAAUAUUUGUUGUUAUUUUCCAAGUAUGAUAUAGGAUGCCGAUUUCCUGUGAGAAAUAGUCAGGAAGUGAUCUAAUAAACUAGCUCAAAAGUA